CUACGGAGGGUGCAAGCGUUAUCCGGAAUCAUUGGGUUUAAAGGGUCCGUAGGCGGACUAUUAAGUCAGAGGUGAAAUCCCACAGCUCAACUGUGGAACUGCCCUUGAUACUGGUAGUCUUGAGUUAUAUGGAAGUAGAUAGAAUGUGUAGUGUAGCGGUGAAAUGCAUAGAUAUUACACAGAAUACCGAUUGCGAAGGCAGUCUACUACGUAUAUACUGACGCUAAGGGACGAAAGCGUGGGGAGCAAACAGGAUUAGAAACCCGAGUAGUCC
rnacentral:rRNA from 1 species